rnacentral:snoRNA from 2 species
UCCCUCUCACGGUGGCACCUGGAGAGUUUCCAGUAUUCUACCAGUCUUGGCUAUGGGAGGGAGAGUCAAGCAGAGGCAUAUCCAUUCCAUUCCCAGCUUGGUCAGUGGCUAGCGAGUGGAAAGCAAUCUGCUAUAAAU